rnacentral:lncRNA from 1 species
CCGCAGGAACAAUGGAUAAUGGAGCAACCACAAGAAUAACAAGAAAUUAGGCUUCGUUUGUGUGGUCUCUGAAUCUAUUGUGGCUGAUCAUGAUAUGAGAGGACGCUGGGUGGACUCUGCAUCGACCAGACAUGUUUCAAAAAAAAAUGAUGGUUUUGUCAAUUUGAAGGUGUUAUAGGUGUUGGCACAUACAAGCUGGAGUUACCU